rnacentral:rRNA from 1 species
CCUACGGGGCGCUGCAGUGGGGAAUAUUGGGCAAUGGGCGCAAGCCUGACCCAGCAACGCCGCGUGAAGGAAGAAGGCUUUCGGUAUGUAAAGCUCUAUCAGCAGGGAAGAAAAUGACGGUACCUGACUAAGAAGCCCCGGCUAACUACGUGCCAGCAGCCGCGGUAAUACGUAGGGGGCAAGCGUUAUCCGGAUUUACUGGGUGUAAAGGGAGCGUAGACGGUCCUGCAAGCCAGAUGUGAAAGCCCGGGGCUCAACCCCGGGACUGCAUUUGGAACUGUAAGGCUAGAGUGUCGGAGUGGCAGGCGGAAUUCCUAGUGUAGCGGUGAAAUGCGUAGAUAUUAGGAGGAACACCAGUGGCGAAGGCGGCCUGCUGGACGAUGACUGACGUUGAGGCUCGAAAGCGUGGGGAGCAAACAGGAUUAGAUACCCGAGUAGUC